rnacentral:rRNA from 1 species
UACGAAGGGGGCUAGCGUUGCUCGGAAUUACUGGGCGGAAAGCGCACGUAGGCGGAUCUUUAAGUCAGGGGUGAAAUCCUGGAGCUCAACUCCAGAACUGCCUUUGAUACUGAGGGUCUUGAGUUCGGGAGAGGUGAGUGGAACUGCGAGUGUAGAGGUGAAAUUCGUAGAUAUUCGCAAGAACACCAGUGGCGAAGGCGGCUCACUGGCCCGAUACUGACGCUGAGGUGCGAAAGCGUGGGGAGCAAACAGG